rnacentral:lncRNA from 1 species
UGAUUCUCCUGCGUCAGCCUCCCGAGUAGCUGGGACUACAGGCCCUGCAGAUCAAGCAGUGGGUACCGCGGCUGCUCUGGCUUCUCCUGGAAUCUCAGGUGCUCCCUCUUGUGGCUGUUCUCAGCCUAGACAACCAGAAAGCCGCAGAAAAGCACCAGCCAAGGCCGAGGCUGCGAGGGUGCUGGCGGGCAGGCCCAUCACGGGGCUGGCUGUCCUGGUCCGCGAUUCCUUGUCAGCCAUUUUCCUCAGGGGGAGCGGCAAACGCCAACCUGGACUGAACUCAUCUGGGGACAACCCUGGCUUGGAGGAGGGUCAUGUGGCUAUUUGCAGACUUUACUUCUCUUACUGUGAACACCCAUGUGCUCUGCUGCCUAAAACAUAACAUGUUUGACAAUGUGAUGCGGCCCAGACCUACCAUGGAUGCCAUGUCACGUACGUACUAUGCAUCCGACAACAGGGCCAGGAAGCAGAAGGUUCCGGAACACGACUUUCCCAGAGAGCUCAGAUAAGAACCCGUGGGCAUGUCAGCUCAUUCAGUCCUCAUGACCCCCUCCGCCCACCAUGAGGAAGGUCCAUUCUUUCUUCCUCAUUUAACAGAUGAGGAAAUGAAGGCACAGAGAGGUUAAGAAGCUUGUUCUCGGUCACACAGCUAGGACAGAGGUGGAUUUGAACCCAGGCAGUAUGGCUGGGGUUACCAUCCUGGCCUUUUUGAACAUGUCCGGGAGGGCAGGCCCUACCCAGCCACACAAUGCCCAGUAACUCCUGCGGGUGACCUGCCCUGCCUCGUGGAGACUCCGUUAUAUCUGGGCCACCAAGGCAGGGGUUAGAGGUCUGUGUGAGCCCAGCACUGAGGUUCUCUCUGGGUUGAACCCACCUCAGAGAUGUGCCUUGGGCAGGCCUGGCCUUCUGUAGAAGCUGUGAGGGUGAAGGUCUCCAGCCCUUAAAGAACUCUCCCCAACAAAAAAAACAGUCUCCUUCCCAGCUUGGGGCACUAUGUGCUCGGCUGUGGCAGCUCCGUCUGUUCUUCCCCGCCUGCCCCCGGGCACCCGCAGGGGCGCCCAUCAACUCAGGCAGCUCAAGCUGCAAGGAACAAAAGCUUCCCUCCAGGAGCCGGAGCUUGAGACUUCGCCCAGUCAACCCAUUCGGAGAUGGAAUAGAACAGACAGCAACAUUCGCAUGAAAAUGUCACGAUGAAAGCACUGAGGACUCGCAGGACACCAGCGGCACUGGGGAGGUGCUUUUGAGCUUGGUCCCCCGCACCCCGGGGGUCCCCGCCUUCUCCCUCUGCCGCAUGAGAAACACUGGGGCCCAGGUGUUCUCAGCUCAUUUGUCGCCUUCCCCACCAUCUUAGAAAGCGACUGAGGUCUUUUGAAUUCCAGGGGCUGGUCUGAACCUUCCAAGAGCACAGAUUUUACUGACCUUAAGGCUCGGUGAACCCACAGCUGACAAAAGGUUCCAGAGAGGAGGAGGAGGGGCUGGCUUGGGGUCACGCAGCCAGAGGCAGGGGCUGAGCAAAGUUUCCAACAGCGAUUGUCUCCCAAAGGUCAGCCCCUGCCCGAUCGCGAUGGCGGCCACCACAAGGCGGGGCUGAGCCAGUGGGCAGGGGUGGAGUGGGAUGGAGCGGGACCCCCGACUGACAGCCUCCCGUCCUACCUGCGGU